rnacentral:rRNA from 1 species
UUGGCGACCGCGGAAGCUGGCAAGAAGAAGAUGAUCACCCUGAAGAUGUCAAACGGUGAGGAGUUUGAGGUGGAGUAGGCGGUCUCCAUGGAGUCACAAACCAUCCAGCAUAUGAUUGAGGAUGAUUGCGCCAACAAAGGCAUCGCAAUCCCUAACGUCAACAUCAAGAUCCUGUCCAAGGUCACCAAUUACUACAAUAAACACGUCCUGGCCAAGCCAGUCGACGCCAUCACUGGAGCCACCGGUGCCGUUGCAUCCAACACAACGGCUCCCUUCGCAAUUGCCGAGGACCUCAAGAACUGGGAUGCAGAAUUUUCCUCUUGGACCUCAUACAGGUAUGCUAUCCUUUCAUUGGACCAUCUCCUUUUUCUAGAUUUACUUUUCUUCAUGUUCCCCUUCCGGGACUCAAAUCUAGAUGGGCUUGCACUUCUUGCUACUAUUUAUAUUAGACUGGAAGGACUCCUCGUACAACCAUCGAUGCAGUAUAUACAUUUUCAAAAAUACUUUUUGAAUGGUAUGAUACAAUAUAUAUUAGACCGGAAGGACUCAUCUUUUUAG